rnacentral:rRNA from 1 species
CGAUAGCCUAGGAGAUACACCUGUACCCAUGCCGAACACAGAAGUUAAGCCCUAGAACGCCGGAAGUAGUUGGGGGUUGCCCCCUGUGAGAUAUGGUAGUCGCUUAGC